rnacentral:rRNA from 1 species
UACGAAGGGGGCUAGCGUUGUUCGGAAUUACUGGGCGUAAGGCGCACGUAGGCGGAUUGUUAAGUCAGAGGUGAAAUCCCGGAGCUCAACUUCGGAACUGCCUUUGAUACUGGCAAUCUAGAGUCCGGAAGAGGUUAGUGGAAUUCCCAGUGUAGAGGUGAAAUUCGUAGAUAUUGGGAAGAACACCAGUGGCGAAGGCGGCUAACUGGUCCGGUACUGACGCUGAGGCGCGAAAGCGUGGGGAGCAAACAGG